UAAAGCCUCCUACGUGCUUGCUGCCAUAUAUAAAGAGUCCCUUAUUAUUGGCUGUAAUUUCUUUUCUUUUCCGUGUCCUGAUAAAAAUCAUUCUAUAAAACAAAACAAAAUAGGGUGGUUGUUUUUUUUUUAAAUGAGGCCCCGUGCUAUGCUGAGAUUUACUGGCUGACAUCCUGACUAAUGUAGCGCUGAUGCUCUAAUGCCUGCAGAACUGGAUAUGGCAACCCAAGAUAGGAAGAAAUGAGGCCCUGCCAGUGUGGACAUCACUCUCACUGCCAUUUUCAACUCUGCUCAAAAAAACUGAUUUAUGUUGCUUCUGUGUAUUUAUCAUUGUUUUAGAUGUGCAACUGUGUUUGCUGCUCCGAGAAGUUUUCUCCAUAAGCGUAGAAGUGUGACGAGAAGGAGAGGGAGAGAAUGAACAACCUACACGUCUAAAACCAAAAAGUCCUGAAGGUUCCAAGUAACCAUGCACAAAAAGAUAAUUAUGGCUAAAAACAGCCUUUUUGCCCCUUAUUGGGCUGACCAAACUCUCCUCCCUGCAGCCAAACUACUAAUUUCUUGCUUAAGUUCCUUAUUGGCGCUUUGGUAGCAGAGGAUGGAAUGCCUUGAUUCUAAAAGAGAAGCCUGCCUGCUAAACUUCAGAACUUUGCUGGAUUCUGAAAGAAAGGUCGAAUUGCAUGGAAACUUUGGCUUCAGGGGUCACUGGGACAAGUGAUGCCAUCAUCAGCCUGUCUCUGUUGACUUAUCUCUAUUGUUGCCAUUUGUUUGAUGUGUUAAGGGCUUAGCUGCUCCUUCUUCAUUGUGGCGGAAAGAUCAAAGGCUUGCCAAAGUUGUUCCAAUUCAAAGUAUUGCUUCUCCUACUUUGUCUACUUCGUUAAUUACCUUGUAGCAGUUUUAUCCUCUGUCUUUGUCUCUUUUAUAAAUUGAUUGCCUAAUAUUAUUCUUACAUCUUUCACAGUA